rnacentral:rRNA from 1 species
CGACCGCUGGCGGCGUGCUUAACACAUGCAAGUCGCCCGGAAAGGCCCUGCUUGCAGGGUACUCGAGUGGCGAACGGGUGAGUAACACGUGGGUGAUCUGCCCUGCACUUCGGGAUAAGCCUGGGAAACUGGGUCUAAUACCGGAUAGGAGCCAUUUUUAGUGUGAUGGUUGGAAAGUUUUUUCGGUGUAGGAUGAGCUCGCGGCCUAUCAGCUUGUUGGUGGGGUAAUGGCCUACCAAGGCGGCGACGGGUAGCCGGCCUGAGAGGGUGGACGGCCACAUUGGGACUGAGAGACGGCCCAGACUCCUACGGGAGGCAGCAGUGGGGAAUAUUGCACAAUGGGCGCAAGCCUGAUGCAGCGACGCCGCGUGGGGGAGGACGGCCUUCGGGUUGUAAACUCCGUUCGCUAGGGACGAAGCUUUUUGUGACGGUACCUAGAGAAGAAGCACCGGCUAACUACGUG